CACUGGCUGCGGGGACUCCAGUGGUUAGUCGCGACGUUUGACGUACAGCUCUACAAAGACAGCGCAGCGGAAGUGAAGCUCUGAGUGAAGAUGACUAAUACCACAGGCUGGCUGUGUCUCGUUUGGAAGGCUGCAUGCUAGGUAGGACGCGUCCUUUGAAGACUGAAGUAUACCGAGUGUCCUUUAAACAAGUCUCGUUUAAACGAGACAGCCUUCGUAGGACAAACGGAAACGGAACGGAACAUGGUUGCUAUGACAUCACGCCAAUCUUUAACAAGCGGGAGCGCUUUCAGUGAGAAGGGAACAAAGUCCCUUUAGAAGGGAAUUUAUGAGGUACAUUUUAGGAGAGUUAUAAUGAUGUAAAGUGAAAAUAACAUUUAUUUUACAGGUGUACUUUUAGUCUAAUACUUUAAUUAUAUAUUAAUAUAAUUAUAUAUAUUAUAUACUCUGCACCUAUCUACUGAGGUACUUCAACUUGGGAAUUAAUAUUCCUUGCAUUUGAACAUAAUAUUUACAGGCAAAAAUUGUUUUGACAUUUCCGUUGAAGCAAAGAACUGUGGGUUAUGAGUGCCCACGAAGGAUACACCUCAUGCAUACUCCGAAUUCCCGUGAAAGAAGGUCGCAUUCUAAGGCUGCAUUCGAAGUGUCCUACUCGCUUUUCUGCGAGUAGAAAAGAGACAGCCUCGAUGACGUAUGCGGCCGACAAAUGCGACCUCCGGAUGACGCAGCCUUCCAAACGAGACACAGCCACAGCCACAGUCACAGCGAUUCGUGUGAUUAUCAGGGGCGUUUCUAGGACUUGAGGAGGUUCGGGGCUUAGCGGGAGUCACGUCACAUGAACUUCAAACAAAAUAUAGCAAUAUUAUUGUGUAGCCUACAUUUAAAAUUACAUUCGGGGCUACAGUCAAAACAUUCGAGGCAUGACCUGGCGACGCCGAUGGUGAUUAUUACAGCAGAAACAUGACCAAUAAACCUGACGUGGUGCCUUGUGGAGUCACCGAGCGCAAGAUAAACGUGGCCUCAGUUAAACACGACAUGGUGGUGCUCGAUGUCAUUCACAUAAAGGACACGGUAAAACGAGUCCUAUAUUGAUAUAACCUGAAAGGUUGCUCAGCAAGGAAGAAGCCACUACUCCAAAACCACCAUAAAAAAAGACAGACUACAGUUGGCAAGUGCACAUGGGGACAACGAUCUUACUUAUUGGAGAAAUGUCCUCUGGUCUGAUGAAACAAAAAUUUUAACUGUUUGACCAUAAUGACCAUCGUCAUAUUUGGAGAAAAAAGGGUGAGGCUUGCAAUCCAAAGAACACCAUCCCAACCGUGAAGCAUGGGGUUGGCAGCAUCAUGUUGUGGAGGUGCUUUGCUGCAGGAGUGACUGGUGCACUUCACAAAAUAGAUGGCAUCAUGAGGAAGGAAAAUGAUGUGGAUAUAUUGAAGCAACAUCUCAAGACAUCAGCCAGGAAGUUAAAGCUCGGUCGCAAAUGGGUCUUCUAAAUGGACAAUGAUCCCAAGCAUACCUCCAAAGUUGUGGCAAAAUGGCUUGAGGACAACAAAGUCAAGGUAUUGGAGUGGCCAUCACAAAGCCCUGACCUCAGUCUGAUAUAAAAUUUGUGGGCAGAACUGAAAAAGCAUGUGCGAGCAAGGAUGCCUACAAACCUGACUCAGUUACACCAGUUCUGUCUGGAGGAAUGGGCCAAAAUUCCAGCAACUUAUUGUGAGAAGCUUGUGGAAGGCUACCCAAAAUGUAACAAUACUAACAAAGUGUAUGUAAGCUUCUGACCCACUGGGAAUGUGAUUAUUACUGAUGUUCCAGUUCACAAAAAGAAAUAUGAAACGGACACAUAUGUGCUGGUCGGGGGACUGUGAGGGCCAUGGCAAAACCUUCAGUUUGCACCUCUUGAGGUCGUCCAUUGUGGAUUUUGAGUCAUGGCGUAUUCUUCUGUUUGGUAUAUUGAAUGUGGUGCAGCUCCACCAACAGUAUGGAAUAAAGUUGUUGCUUGGAAGGCAACACGCAGAUGGAUGAACCCAGAUGCGGGAACUUUAUUCGAACACAGGCAAGAACACAGGUGCGGUGUGGCCCUGUAUAACGCUAGCUGCUGUUUCUUCACAUCUGUUCCUGCAUGCUGUUACAUCAGAUUAGCUUCAUUGUUUGUUUUGCCAAACUUGUUGCACCACAUUUAUCUUGUUUCUGCACUGUAGAGUAGGGUUGCUCGAUUAUGGCAAAAAUUAUAAUCACAAUUAUUUUGGUCAAUUGUAACGUUGGCUGGCAACAAGGUAAAUGCAGAGACGAUGAUGAAGUGUGAUGAACCCAAGUGCAAUUUAAUAACAAAAGUGAGAUCCAGUAAACCCUAACUCCAAACGUGACUACAAAACAUAAACAUGAAUUGACUUUGUUCAUGGAACCAAUAUUACACAAACAAUACUCGACAAUGGACAAUGGCAAACAUGAGGGCUAAAUACUUUGACUUGGGAGAACACAUGACAAUGAUAACCAAUGACAAGACAGAACUGAUAACAAGAUGACUAGACAAUAAACCAAUGAAAACAAGACACAUGAACAUGGAGGGAAACAGAAUAUCACAUGACCAGGGAACCACAUGACAUGAAACAGGAACAGGAACUAAACUUUACAAAUAAAAGACAUGAAAAACAUAAACAAACACAUACAAUACGCAUGCAGCAGCUUGCUUGCACCUGCACCAGCAAUACUGAGAUCAUGAUUAUUCAACACGAUUACUCAUUGACUAUGGAAACAUCAUGCAUUUAUUGAAAUAUUUUUAAUAAAAACUUGUCUUUUAACAGUGGAUUUCCUUGAACUUGAAAUGUAAACUGCACUGGGUAGGAGUGGAGGCUAUUGUCAUAUGAUAAUUAUUUUAUGUUACGUAUGGUAGUCAAAUAAAGGAAAGCCUCCAUCACCAUCAUUAACAGCAGGGAUGCUCAUAGUUCUAUGGAAUGAGAUCUACUUUUUCAUUAUGUUAUUGCAGCAAGGUCUACCAUGUACAA